AUUGAACGCUGGCGGCAGGCCUAACACAUGCAAGUCGAACGAGUGGCGGACGGGUGAGUAAUGUCUGGGAAACUGCCUGAUGGAGGGGGAUCACUACUGAAAACGGUCGCUAAUACCGCAUACCAUCAGAUGUGCCCAGAUGGGAUUCGAUUGUUGGUGGGGUAACGGCUCCCCAAGGCGACGCUCCCUAGCUGGUCUGAGAGGAUGACCAGCCACACUGGAACUGAGACACGGUCCAGACGCCUACGGGAGGCAGCAGUGGGGAAUAGUGCACAAUGGGCGCAAGCCUGAUGCAGCCAUGCCGCGUGUAUGAAGAAGGCCUUCGGGUUGUAAAGGACUUUCAGCGGGGAGGCGUUACCCGCAGAAGAAGCACCGGCUAACUCCGUGCCAGCAGCCGCGGUAAUAC
rnacentral:rRNA from 1 species